GCCUGGGUGGCUCAGUUGGUUAAACAUCUGACUUCUGCUCAGGUCAUAAUCUCAUAGUUUGUGAGUUCGAACCCCACAUCAGGCU
rnacentral:tRNA from 1 species